rnacentral:rRNA from 1 species
GACUGAGUGGCGUACGGGUGCGUAACAUUGACACAACUGCCUUAUACUGGAGCAUAGCCUCGGGAAACUGAGAUUAAUUCUCCAUAAUGUUAUGAAGUGGCAUCACUAUAUAACUAAAACUCCGGUGGUAUAAGAUGGGUGUGCGUCCGAUUAGCUAGUUGGUGAGGUAACGGCUCACCAAGGCGACGAUCGGUAGCUGGUCUGAGAGGAUGAUCAGCACACGGGCAACUGAGACACGGGCCCGACUCCUACGGGAGGCAGGCAGUAGGGAAUAUUGGACAAUGGGCGCAAGCCUGAUCCUAGCCACCCGCGUGAAGGAUUCAAGGUCCUAUGGAUUGUAAACUUCUUUUCUCUGGGAAUAAAAAGCGGGAUUCAUUCCUGGCUUGAAGGUACCAGAGGAAUAAGCACCGGCUAACUCCGGUGCCCAGAGCCGGGUAAAUACGGAGGGUGCAAGCGGUAAUCCGGAUUCCUGGGGUUAAAGGGGUGGCGUAAGGUGGGCUUUUAUAAGUCAGUGGGUGAAAGGCCCGGGAGGUUUAAUUGCCGGGGAAAUUGGGCNAUUGGAAAACGUGGUUACAGGUUGGGAAUCCAGUCAAAGGGUGG